ensembl:lncRNA
CGGAAGUGGAGCAGCUGCUCUGCUGUUAGCCGCUCCGGACUCUCGCUCGUCUUUACCGUCAGAACCGGAACCUGCGACGGAACCGGAGGGACCAUGGAGCCCGUCCCCGCUGCACCGGCUGAGGAGUUCGCCGGCAUUCAGGUGAAAACGGAGCCGGAGGGCGACGUGGAGAUCCGCUCGUACCCGAUCCUCAGGAAGUUGUCGGUCAAGCUGAGUGACUGCAGGGUGUGGCUGGAGGGGCGGGACUUCCUGUCUUUGGGUGAAUGAAGCAAAAAAGAAAGUGACAGGAGGUGAAGCAAGCUGCUGAAACUAGAGACGGCACAGUGAUGAUCUCCAUC